rnacentral:rRNA from 1 species
AAACUUGUGCUAAUACCGUAUACGCCCUACGGGGGAAAGAUUUAUCGCUAUUGGAUGGGCCCGCGUUGGAUUAGUUUGUUGGUGAGGUAACGGCUCACCAAGGCUACGAUCCAUAGCUGGUCUGAGAGGAUGAUCAGCCACACUGGGACUGAGACACGGCCCAGACUCCUACGGGAGGCAGCAGUGGGGAAUAUUGGACAAUGGGGGAAACCCUGAUCCAGCCAUGCCGCGUGAGUGAAGAAGGCCCUAGGGUUGUAAAGCUCUUUCGCUAGGGAAGAUAAUGACGGUACCUAGUAAAGAAGCCCCGGCUAACUUCGUGCCAGCAGCCGCGGUAAUACGAAGGGGGCUAGCGUUGUUCGGAAUUACUGGGCGUAAAGCGCACGUAGGCGGAUUGUUAAGUUAGAGGUGAAAUCCCGGGGCUCAACCCCGGAACUGCCUUUGAUACUGGCAGUCUAGAGACUGGAAGAGGUGAGUGGAAUUCCGAGUGUAGAGGUGAAAUUCGUAGAUAU